UAAGUAUACCGGAAGGUGUGCUUGGAAACGAAACAUAAUUUAAAUAAAAUGACUUGCUUACACCAAGUAAACACCUGAUCAAACCCGGUUGUUUCGAGCCUAAUUUAUAGCCACACCACGUAAGCCACCACCCCAGCUCCUGCAAAUAACUAAACCAUUCUCCCACCUUAGUAAAGGCGAUUGAAAAACUACUCCUGAGCUAUAAAUAGUACCGCAAGGGAACUAUGAAAUAGAAAUGAAACAAUACUAAAGCACAAUAUAGCAGAGCCUAACCCUCGUACCUUUUGCAUCAUGAUUUAGCUAGUCGAAGCAAGCGUAAAGAAUUAUAGUUUGCCCCCCCGAAACCAAGUGAGCUACUCCGGGGCAACUUAAAGAGUCAACCCCUCUCUGUAGCAAAAGAGUGGGAAGACCCCCGAGUAGGGGUGAUAAACCUAACGAGCUUGGCGAUAGCUGGUUGCCCAAGAAAAGGAUUUAAGUCCAACCUUAAGCUUACCCAACAACACUUAGUAAUCAUCAGCUUAAGAGCCAGUCGAAUAAGGCACAGCUUAUUUGACCCAGGAUACAACCUAAACCCCCGGGUAAUGACCCCCCACCUGUGAAUAAGUGGGCCUAAAAGCAGCCACCUUAAACAAAAGCGUCAAAGCUUCCACACACCUAAACCAAAAUACCACACAACCCCCAGAACCCCCACACACUAUUGAGCGACUCCAUAAACAUAUGGAACACACCCUGCUGAAAUUAGUAACACGAAACACCCGUUUCUCUUUAAUGUAAACAAAAAUCAGAACGGAAAGCCCGCUGAUACUUAACGCCCUUGAAAUAAGGCAGUAACUUAACUAGAAAACCCUCCCUCCCCCAGCGUUAACCUUACACAAGAACAUCACAAGAAAGAUUAACAGAGACGGAAGGAACUCGGCAAAUAUCAACCCCGCCUGUUUACCAAAAACAUCGCCUCUUGCCUAAAAUAAGAGGUCCAGCCUGCCCAGUGACCCAGUUCAACGGCCGCGGUAUCAUGACCGUGCGAAGGUAGCGUAAUCACUUGUUCUUUAAAUAAGGACUAGUAUGAAUGGCAUCACGAGGGUCGUACUGUCUCCCGCCUCCAAUCAGUGAAAUUAAUCUCCCCGUGAAGAAGCGGGGAUAGAAAUAUAAGACGAGAAGACCCCAUGGAGCUUAAAACAAACGGCACCUGCUAACUCAAGUUAAACACUCUGACCACCAGUUUUUGGUUGGGGCGACCACGGAGGACAACUAACCCUCCAUGAUGAAUAAUCCUUUAAGCCCAAAGCCACAGCUUUAAGCAUCAGCACCCUGACAUCCAUUGACCCAAUCUAAUUGAUCAACGAACCAAGUUACCCUGGGGAUAACAGCGCAAUCUACUUCAAGAGCCCUUAUCGACAAGUAGGUUUACGACCUCGAUGUUGGAUCAGGGUACCCUAGUGGUGCAGCCGCUACUAACGGUUCGUUUGUUCAACGAUUAAAACCCU
rnacentral:rRNA from 1 species